rnacentral:rRNA from 1 species
UACAGAGGGUGCGAGCGUUAAUCGGAAUUACUGGGCGUAAAGCGCACGUAGUCGGCUUUGCAAGUCGGGUGUGAAAUCCCCGGGCUCAACCUGGGAACUGCAUCCGAGACUGCAUUGCUAGAGUAUGGGAGAGGGAAGCGGAAUUUCUGGUGUAGCAGUGAAAUGCGUAGAUAUCUGGAGGAACACCGGUGGCGAAGGCGGCAUCCUGGACCAACACUGACACUGAGGAGCGAAAGCCAGGGGAGCAAACGGG